AAGAUGAUGCCAUGAUCAUGAAUGCACUAGAGCAAUCUGCAGGGAAUGUUUUAUGGUGAUACUUGCAUCUGUGAAGCAUUUGUCCUCUAAAAAGAAAGCAUGUACUUUAAAGGUUAAAUUCUCGUGCCCUGUCCAAUGUACAGAAUAUCCUCAAAAACCUACGGGUAAUAACCUUUAUAUCUUCUACUGUGAGCAUGAUGGAGGUUGACAUUGUGAAGUUUAUGGAAAUACGUGAAAGGCGAAAAGUAAUUUACUCUAAUAAGGCAUUCAGGAAGCAAUUACCUUUUCAAAUACUAUUAAUAGGAAGCAAGUUGAAAAUGGAGGAUGCAAUGAUACUAGAACUGAGGUUUUUGAAUUGGAUCACUUACUGCACAACUGGGAAUGAGAACCACAUAUCGAGUGAACUGUGAGUUAUGGAUAGUCCCCAGCUCAAGCUUGAGGUCCAACUGCUAACAUUUCGCCAUGUCACUGGUGCAAUGACUCAGGUUAUUAAAAAUGCAGAGAAAACAAUGCAUACAAGGUAAAAAAUGGAAUUUGUUAUUAAAUUUCAUUGCUAACCUGCUGAAAGAUACUGAAAAGCUAAAAACUGUGAAUACUUGAAAACUAAGUGUAAAAGCCAG
rnacentral:lncRNA from 1 species